CAGACCUCUAAUCGGAAAAGACUACCCGCUGAGUU
rnacentral:rRNA from 10 species